rnacentral:rRNA from 1 species
AGCGAACGCUGGCGGCAGGCCUAACACAUGCAAGUCGAACGAACCUUUCGGGGUUAGUGGCGGACGGGUGAGUAACACGUGGGAACGUGCCUUUAGGUUCGGAAUAACUCAGGGAAACUUGUGCUAAUACCGAAUGUGCCCUUCGGGGGAAAGAUUUAUCGCCUUUAGAGCGGCCCGCGUCUGAUUAGCUAGUUGGUUGAGGUAAUGGCUCACCAAGGCGACGAUCAGUAGCUGGUCUGAGCGGAUGAUCAGCCACAUUGGGACUGAGACACGGCCCAAACUCCUACGGGAGGCAGCAGUGGGGAAUCUUGCGCAAUGGGCGAAAACCUGACGCAGCCAUGCCGCGUGAAUGAUGAAGGUCUUAGGAUUGUAAAAUUCUUUCACCGGGGACGAUAAUGACGGUACCCGGAGAAGAAGCCCCGGCUAACUUCGUG